GGGGCGCUGGUCGCAAGAUCAGCCGCAGUGAAAAGGCCCAAGCAACUGUUUAUCAAAAACACAGGCAUCUGCAAAAUCGUAAGAUGAAGUAUAGGUGCUGACACCUGCCCGGUGCUGGAAGGUUAAGAGGAGAGCUUAGCGCAAGCGAAGGUUUGAAUUG
rnacentral:rRNA from 1 species